UUGCUGAGAAACUGACUUGGUUCCUUAAGGAAUUAAGCGAAGGAGCGGCUGCCUUGGGUGUAUCAAGGCGAAAAAGCUUCUAGACCAGAGCAAAACCUGGCAGUACGGAAGCCAGAGGCAAGGCGCUCGUAGGAGGAGGGGUGCUUCUGACACAUCCACCAAGGGGAGAGGGCGAGAGAGAGUAUGGAGCCAGCCUCGGGCGCUAACUAGCAGCUGCACCGAACAGUCGCCCCACAGGGAGCGAGCGCUUUGCCUCCCUGCCAGGGGGAAAGAUACCAACAGCAGCCAAAGCUUUCAUCAAGGGAGAGUCAAAGCCGGGAAGCAGAGAAGCGAAUCCAGCCUUCCAACAAGCGCACAUGUUCUGGGCAACCAGCCAGCGGGUCCAAGUGCUCGACUGGAGCUCUGCCGGGUGAUUCAUUGGCUGUAAUCGUGUGGGUGAGGCCACAACUCUUUUUACACGAAAUCACCAGGAUGAAUGAAAGGGUGGCUGCUCGGCACUGAGGCUUAGGGGGAGGUCCGCGGAAGUCCUGAAAUGCUCUUUAGGAAGACACACCAACGGAUUGUGUCACGUAGACCACAGCUUGGGUAUGCGGUCGGUUCGUCAUCUUGUUACACCAGCUUUUUACACCGGAGAUGGCGGACUCGGCAUGGCUCCCCCCAGAUGUCGCUGAUCUGCAGCUCCCUCGCUGCCUUUCAGCCAUGCUGCUGUCGACUUUGCCGGCUAGGAAAGAAUAUGCUGAGGAAGAAUGGAUGAAGCUCCUGUCAACCCAAGCUGUGAGGAUCUGUGGAGGCAAGUAUCUCACAUUUCUCUUAGGCACAAUUUCCUCUCAGGGUGCCAGCAUUCUCAACUGCCUUUGCCGUGAGCAGUCAUGAAACCACCACCCUGGUGUCCAGCAAGUUCCCAGAUGGGUAUAAAAUGCCCGAGGAUCACUGGGAUCCUUUUCAACUUCACAGUUUUCCACCAGGCACUUUCCCUCCAUUUACUUCUACUGUCUGGAGCAUGAGCUUGAGUUGACGUGCAUGCAGCCCAAUUCUAUACUUAGAUUCCCAGUAAAUUUCAAAGGUGGCAGCUUUACAGCGUGACUUAAAAAAGGAAAACAAAAACUGUUGGAGUCAGCAUUAAUGUGCUAGAGCUUGUUGUUGUUGUCUCAUCAUUAAUUCGUGUCCGACUCUUCGUGACCCCAUGGACCAGAGCACACCAGGCCCUCCUGUCUUCCACUGCCUCCUGGAUUUGGGUCAAAUUCAUGUUGGUAGCUUCGGUGACACUGUCCAUCCACCUCCUCCUCUGUCCAUCUUGCCCCUUCACAGAUUGCUGCCUUAUUGUGGUGAAGGGGCUUGAGUAAUUCAGAGAAGCUACGGGCUGUGCCAUGCAGGACCACCCAAGACGGACAGGUCAUAGUGGAGAGUUCUGACUAAACGCGAUCCACCUGGAGCAGGAACUGGCAAGCCACUCCAGUAUCUUUACCAAGAAUGCCCCAUGAACAGAAACAAAAGACUAAAAGAUAUGUGCCAGAGCACUUAAAUAAAAAAGAAAAGAAAAGAAAGGAAAGGAAAGGA
rnacentral:lncRNA from 1 species